AGAGCCUGACGCGGGGCUCGAACCCACGAACUUGAGAUCAUGACCUGAGCCGAAGUCUGGCGAUCAACCGACUGAGCCACCCAGGCGCCACCCGAAUUUCAUGCUUAAGAGGAGAUUAAGCGUGGAUGGCUGACCUCAGCGGUGUGGGCUUGGUGCCCCUCUCUGGGGAUCUAACGCAUCUCCCCGGGCUACUACUCAGCGCGUGUUGAUGAGGAGGACAUCUGUGAGGGUGCAGGAGACCAGCAGAAAGCUGCCGGAUUCUUCUCUCUCUGGCGGAUAGGAUGUGUGCAUUUGGUCCUUACUUGUGUGUGACCGCGGCUAACCACACGGGGACUUCUUGUAGCCGCUAGACAGGCCUGUGCAGGCCUCAGGGGCUCUGGGAAGUGUCCCAGUCAAGGUCAACACUCAAGAAGACAGAAGAUGGAAUGGGGCCGUCCCACCCCAAGCGGGCUGCUGGGCCCAGAUGGGGGCCGCUGUGGAGCUGGGGGCAGGGUAGGAGGCACCCAGGGCAGGGGCACCUGCUGAGAGGAGCAGGGGGGCGCCAGUGCCCUCCCUGAGCGUUUCCCCUCACUCCUGCUCUCCUCCCCGACCAGCAUCCUCCUACCCUUGCAUGCACGACGGGGGAGAGCGCCCAGGGCCCGUGUCUUCCCCUCGACACAUGGCCCCAGCAGAGCGAUGACGCCGUGUAAACAGAACACGCUGCCUGAGAGGAGGCGCUGCGUCCAAGUCCCGUGUCCUCCACCUUCUAGCUGGUGACCUUCAGCCAGUGACUUAAGGCCUUCAGGGCUUCCAUUUCUCUACCAGUAAACGGAGCAAAUACCUUCUGUCUGCCCCCCGGGGGCCACCGUGCUGAGGAAGGCAUCCUGUCCUUCCGUGGGACCUCAGAGCGUAGACGGUACAUUUUCCACGGCCGAGCAUCUGUUACAUCGCUUGACAAGUGGUGCCUGAAGCAGAUGUGUUCAGUGCUGUCGUUCCUGGCGGAGACGGAGCGGGAGCUGCUGGGUCUCUUCAAUUCCCCAUAAGGAGACCCUCUUGGCCUUUUCUUCUUUGCUACAAGUUUCCAGGCUUUGUGUUGUUAAACUGAUGAAGGCUGACUGUUGCAAAGCCCCGCAACAAAGCGAGGGGCUCCGGCCCGAGAGCAGGGCCGGCCCCCUUAGAAAACGACCUUUGAGCAUCCCUCAAGGCCUGGGACGUGUCUGAACCUACUUGUCAGGGGAUGCAGAGCUAGCCGGAAGAGCGAUUUCCUUUCUCCCUCAGAACUGAUCCUAUGGAAACACACGUGUCCGAAGAGGCAAAGGGCCAAGUGCUGUACCCUGGUGUUCGGAGCAGCAGGAUUCAUAAUAGCUCCCAAGCAGAAACAACUCACGUGUCCAUCGGCUGAUUAAGCAAAAUGUGGUCUAUCCACGCAAGAGAAUGCUACUCGGCCGUAAGAAGGA